UUUUUGAAAAUAAGAUUGAAAACUUGGUUAUAAAUAAAAAAAAGCGCAAAAGUAUAUAGUAAUGAUAAGCGCCUAAAAAGAACCACUGUAAAUUACAUAAAAGAAAUAACAAAAGGAAAAAAAAGAUUAUCUAAAAAAAAAAAAAAAAGAUUGUAAGAAAUCUGGUGGUGGUAUCCACGAUGACAAUAUUGACAUAUACCACAUGCUGUGUGUCCACCCUUGAAUGGAAUAAUUUGAGCUGCCUGGCACGGCCCAGAGAGCCCAGCAUGAGCUGUUGAGUACAUGAACACCAGUUGCCUAUAUAUAUUUCUGUCUCUCUCAACCUAAUCUUCAUCUAUACUUGCACACUGUACUAGCUAGUCUCCUACCAACACUAAUAGUAGUAGUAGUAUUAUUUUAUAUGGAGUAAUUUUAUUUUUUUAUUUAAUUUUAGAAAUAUAUAGUAUGCAUGAUGUAUCUACAGUUGUACUACAGUUGAGGCAUACACAUUCUCCUAAGGUAAAGCAGCACUAUCAUCUCUCACUGAAAAGGGUCCUGAGAAAGGAAAGCUUGAGAUAAUUUACUUUACCACACUACUACUCUUUUCUGUAUAUUCUUCUCUCUUUUGCUCACUUUGCUUCCUGUUUCCAGAUUUAUAAAUGCAGAUCUUCCUUUCUGUCGAUAAAUUUAAUUCUCUUUUGAGACUCUCUCAUGUCUCAUGUAUUAGCAUUGCUUAGUUAGUAGCUAAUUAGCUAGAGUAAUGCCACAUUAUCCUGCUGGUGGAUCUACAAAUUAAUGUGUCUUAAUUAGCUAGAGUAAUGCCACAUUAUCUGAAGUCGAAAUUGCUGGAUUAAUGUAAGAUCGAUUUCCCCUUGUACCAUGUUACUUGUUAGAUUAACCCCCCCUCCCAAAAUGUUAAGAUAUUACACUAUUUGUUUAUAAGUAUUGUAUUUAAUUAAUUAGCAGGCUAGCUAUUAUAUAUACACAGAGAGCUGAGGUUAGUGUUUACAAGUAAGUGAAGUUUAGCGAGCUGUAUUAAAUUCUUUACUGCAGCAUAUAUGAUGAUUGAACACAAAUAUACAGCAACAUUUGGUGCAGCUACCUGGGUUUUCUUAAUUUCAAGAAGAGCUCAUAUUCUUGUAUAUAAUUAGAAGAACCCAGAAAUAGGUGAUAAAUGAACGAAUGAAUUUAGUUAGUAUUUCUAUUGAUUUCCUUUAAUUGAUGCAAGAUUGUUUUCUUAGUUGUUAUAUCUUAUGUUGUUUCCAUUUAUUUCAAAUUAAUAUAUAGUUUGUUAUUUUAGCAAUAUUCUAUAUACCAUGAUGCUUGCUUUUUCUAGUAAUUAGGGUUAGGGUUUAUGCAAGAACCAAAACAUAUACAAAGUGAAGCUAAUUGGGCUUGCAUUGUAGUAAUAUCUAUUAAUAUAUAUAUGCAGAUGCUUCGGAGGGUUUGAGAAGUUGCAUAUGUUUUGUAUGUUUCAAAUUUUAAUAGAAGAAGCAGCACCCAAGUAUAUGUUAAGUUAUCAGUUCUUCUAGAACCUCAAGGUGUUAUCAAAUAUAUUAAGUUAUAAGUUCUCCUGAAACUCAGGGUGUUAUCAAGUAUGUUAAAUUAUAAGUUUUCUCCUAAAACUGAAAAAGGAGCUUCCUUCAGUCCACUCAUGGGCAGGGCAAAGGAUUGAAUUAGCUGCCGACUCAUUCACUCAAACACAGUAGAAACACGCUACUGGGCUGCUGUGAAUGUGUGAAUGAUGCGGGAGAUUAAUAUAACUCCUUUUCUUCUCUUUGCUUGGACUGAAGGGAGCUCCCUUUUCUAUUUACUCAUCACUUGAUAAUUUCGCUUACUUUAGCUCACUUGAUAUGUGUUACAUUUCUAAAUUUAUGCAGGCAUUUUCCGGGAUACCAGCUACAGAGAUCCUUUACUGCUCACCUUUUUAAGUAAAGGUAGAAUUUUUAAGUAAAUUACUGCGAAUGAGCUCAUAUAUUCCUUUAAUGUCUCCUCGUCACUAUAUAAUGUGAGCUUAGAUAUAAUGUUUUUUAAGAUGAUUAUUCAUGUUUGAUGUUACUAUACGCUUAAUGUUCAGUGUUGCGUCAAAUUCAAAUGUUAUGAAUCUCAAAUUUUAUUUUCUUGACUAUUAGACCGCGGCUGAACUAGCUAGGAGGUUAUUAUGCUCCCGGCUACAAUAAUUCUGACCUUGUAAAAUUAUUAAUAGAGAUUGGGGAAAGUAUUCAAAAUCGCGAUUGGCAUACUAUAAAUACAAGUAGUAAUUACGCUACUAGCUCUCUGCUGCCAAUCUGCCAUUACAAAUGUCCGUGUGUUCGGGUUCCACCGCAUAAGUAGUUCUGUUUACUACGUCCAUCUCAAAUUACAUGUCCAUUCCAGGUUUUGAAUAACAGGGAAGGAGCCCAGGAUUAGUAGUCGUAUUAUGCAGCUAUACUAGGCUUGAGAAAGCUGCUUUCUGAGUAGGAAUAGGGUAGGUUUUGGUGCUCUUGGAACUUGAAGCUAAACUAGCUUAUUUUAAGCAGAGUAGAGUAGUAGCAGAAUGGACUAGUACAGUAGUAGUAGUAGUACUGUAAUUUAUUGGCAUUCGUGAUGUUUAUUCUUUUAUUAUCACCACUUUAAGCAGUUUUACAGGCACCCACCACCGCCACAGAUCAAGCCAUGUGAUAUCAUGGCCCUCCCUCAUCCAACGGUCAGUGAAACACAUCGCCUCGUUCCAAAAUUGAAUUCAAAGGUUUUAUCUGUAAAUCGUACGACGAAUCGGAUCAGAUUGUGCUAUAACACGCAGACGUUUCACAAUUUCAUAUCAUUUUCGGGUUUUAUCUCGGUAAAUCGGGUGCCGAAUCAGAUCUGAGUCAGACGGUGUGUGAUAAUGUUGCCAUUGGCAUUGAUUUGCCGCCCCAGCUGUGCAGGGAAUUUUAUAGUGGGACUGAGCCGGCCAUCGUAAGCAAACACUCUGGAGUAGCAGUCUCAAACCUCGAGCUGCUCACUUUGGUAUCAUUAAAGUAGUGUAAGAUGGGGGAGGUGAUCUGGUGUUUUUUGUGCUUUUUAAGUAGUAUAGUCUUUAGAACUGUGAGUUAAGUGUGUAAAAAACUGUAGAAAAUGGGAGUUCAAUGUGUGGACCAAGAAAUGAAAGUACAAAAUUUUAUCUUCCCCAGAUUGAGGCAUGUGUAUUGUUUAUGCACUUGUCUAAUCUCUGAUCAAUAUUAUUCUCUUUUUUAA